AUUGAACGCUGGCGGCAGGCCUAACACAUGCAAGUCGAGCGGAUGACGGGAGGUUGCUCCUUGAUUCAGCGGCGGACGGGUGAGUAAUGCCUAGGAAUCUGCCUGGUAGGGGGGGACAACGUUUCGAAAGGAACGCUAAUACCGCAUACGUCCUACGGGAGAAAGCAGGGGACCUUCGGGCCUUGCGCUAUCAGAUGAGCCUAGGUCGGAUUAGCUAGUAGGUGAGGUAAUGGCUCACCUAGGCGACGAUCCGGAACUGGUCUGAGGGGAUGAUCAGUAACACUGGAACUGAGAAACGGGCCAGACCACUCCGGGGGGCAGCAGAGGGGAAUAUUGGACAAUGGGCGAAAGCCGGAGCCCGCCCUGCCGCGUGUGUGAAGAAGGUCUUCGGAUUGUAAAGCACUUUAAGUUGGGAGGAAGGGCAGUAAGCUAACACCUUGCUGUUUUGACGUUACCGACAGAAUAAGCACCGGCUAACUCUGUGCCAGCAGCCGCGGUAAAAC
rnacentral:rRNA from 1 species